rnacentral:rRNA from 1 species
AGAGUUUGAUCAUGGCUCAGAAUCAACGCUGGCGGCGUGCCUAACACAUGCAAGUCGCACGAGAAAGGGUAGCAAUACCUGAGUAAAGUGGCGCACGGGUGAGUAACACGUGACUAAUCUACCCUCGAGUGGGGAAUAACCUAGAGAAAUCUGGGCUAAUACCGCAUAACACUUACGAGUCAAAGCAGCAAUGCGCUUGGGGAGGAGGUCGCGGCCGAUUAGCUAGUUGGCGGGGUAAUGGCCCACCAAGGCGAUGAUCGGUAUCCGGCCUGAGAGGGCGCACGGACACACUGGAACUGAAACACGGUCCAGACUCCUACGGGAGGCAGCAGUGGGGAAUUUUGCGCAAUGGGGGAAACCCUGACGCAGCAACGCCGCGUGGAGGAUGAAAUAUCUUGGUAUGUAAACUCCUUUCGAUGGGGAAGAUUAUGACGGUACCCAUAGAAGAAGCCCCGGCUAACUUCGUGCCAGCAGCCGCGGUAAUACGAGGGGGGCAAGCGUUGUUCGGAUUUAUAGGGCGUAAAGGGUGCGUAGGCGGUUUGAUAAGUCUGAUGUGAAAUCUAUGGGCUCAACCCAUAGUCUGCAUUAGAAACUGUCGGGCUUGAGUAUGGGAGAGGUGAGUGGAAUUUCCGGUGUAGCGGUGAAAUGCGUAGAUAUCGGAAGGAACACCUGUGGCGAAAGCGGCUCACUGGACCAUAACUGACGCUGAUGCACGAAAGCUAGGGGAGCAAACAGGAUUAGAUACCCUAGUAGUCC